UACGGAGGGUGCAAGCGUUAUCCGGAUUCACUGGGUUUAAAGCGUGCGCAGGCGGUCUCGCAAGCUGGGUGUGAAAGCCCCGGGCUCAACCUGGGAGGUGCAUUCAGGACUGCGAGGCUUGUGAGUGCGGCAGAGGGAGGUGGAAUUCCACGUGUAGCAGUGAAAUGCGUAGAGAUGUGGAGGAACACCGAUGGCGAAGGCAGCCCCCUGGGCUGAGAUUGACGCUCAGGCACGAAAGCGUGGGGAGCAAACAGG
rnacentral:rRNA from 1 species